ACUCCAUGAUGAGGGCACUUCCGUAAUAACUAUUUGUACCUUUCCCAUUCCUCAUAAAAUGACUCAUCAUUUAUUUGUUGUAAGACAGUGAUCUCAUUCCUCAACUU
rfam:Gossypium hirsutum cultivar TM-1 chromosome 21, whole genome shotgun sequence